rnacentral:rRNA from 1 species
AACUCGCCUGCAUGAAGGAGGAAUCGCUAGUAAUCGCAGGUCAGCAUACUGCGGUGAAUCCGUUCCCGGGCCUUGUACACACCGCCCGUCACACCAUGGGAGUUGGCCACGCCCGAAGUCGUUACUCUAACCGUUCGCGGAGGAGGGCGCCGAAGGUGGGGCUGAUGACUGGGGUGAAGUCGUAACAAGGUAGCCGUACCGGAAGGUGUGGCUGGAUCACCUCCUUUU